CACAAGCGGUGGAGCAUGUGGUUUAAUUCGACGCAACGCGAAGAACCUUACCAGGGCUUGACAUCCCCUGACCGCGUAUGAAAGUACGUUUUCACCCUCGGGUGACAGGGAGACAGGUGGUGCAUGGUUGUCGUCAGCUCGUGUCGUGAGAUGUUGGGUUAAGUCCCGCAACGAGCGCAACCCUUGUCCUUAGUUACCAGCACGUAAUGGUGGGCACUCUAAGGAGACUGCCGGUGACAAACCGGAGGAAGGUGGGGAUGACGUCAAGUCAUCAUGGCCCUUACGGCCAGGGCUACACACGUGCUACAAUGGUCGGUACAAAGGGUUGCCAAGCCGCGAGGUGGAGCUAAUCCCAUAAAACCGAUCGUAGUCCGGAUCGCAGUCUGCAACUCGACUGCGUGAAGUCGGAAUCGCUAGUAAUCGUGAAUCAGAAUGUCACGGUGAAUACGUUCCCGGGCCUU
rnacentral:rRNA from 1 species